rnacentral:rRNA from 1 species
AUUGAACGCUGGCGGCAUGCUUUACACAUGCAAGUCGAACGGUAACAGGUUAAGCUGACGAGUGGCGAACGGGUGAGUAAUGCAUCGGAACGUGCCCGGUCGUGGGGGAUAACGCAGCGAAAGCUGCGCCAAUACCGCAUACGAUCUGAGGAUGAAAGCGGGGGACCGUAAGGCCUCGCCCGAUCGGAGCGUCCGAUGUCAGAUUAGGUAGUUGGUGGGGUAAAGGAUCACCAAGCCAACGAUCUGUAGCUGGUCUGAGAGGACGACCAGCCACACUGGGACUGAGACACGGCCCAGACUCCUACGGGAGGCAGCAGUGGGGAAUUUUGGACAAUGGGCGAAAGCCUGAUCCAGCAAUGCCGCGUGCAGGAAGAAGGCCUUCGGGUUGUAAACUGCUUUUGUACGGAGCGAAAAGGUCUCCUCUAAUACAGGGGGCUCAUGACGGUACCGUAAGAAUAAGCACCGGCUAACUACGUGCCAGCCGCCGCAGUAA